rnacentral:lncRNA from 1 species
GCGUGCAUCCGCGUGCAGGCCCGCCUCCUUCCACAUCAACCAGUCUAAGGUUGCUCCCACGAGACUAGGAGGACUGGAGUAGGGUUGGGGUCAAAGGGUAGCCUCCUGCAGGUCGCCUCCUCCUCUGGCUUUCCCGGACUUCGCGCCUGGGACCUCCUGCCGACACCGCACUUCUUCCCAGACUCCCACCUACGCGCUGGGGGCUUGGGUCCAGAUGUCCAGGGUCUUUGAAGAUGUUAGUUCACUGUUUAUUCAUGUGGGUUCCUGUAAAUGUCUACAGCCAAUCUGGAAGUGGAGCUGUAUUUGGAACUUUUUGAAUCUACAUCAGUUUGGGAGAAGUGAGUCUUUUCAGAAUUUGACCUUUCAAUGAAUGUCUCAAAUUUGUUUACGUCAUCUUUAAUGUUUUCAAUACUGUCUUCAAAACAAUUUUGAGGGAAUAUCUUGACAAGCUCCAGACAAUUGAACCCCUAGAAACUUCAGGUGGUUAGCCUGAAUGUUUGGGUCUAUUCCCCAACAAACAUUCAUGCAUGUCUUAUGAAAGAACUCAUAAAGGCAUCAACAGAGAGGACAAGUUGUGGGAUGUAAAGAUGA